CAUAUAUACAUACCGUAUUCAUGAAAUACAAUAAUAGUGUAUUUUAUUAUAAAAUAAAAAAUAAUGUUAUCGAUUUGUAUCAACUGCCAUAUAAAUCUAGUACGUCCUUCCCCUGGCAGCCCUAGUGGCUCUCAAACGCGUCCUCGUGUAUCAGAAACAUAACGCAUAGUUGCUGCAAAUAAAAACCUAUGAUAUUUGAAAAUGAGAAAUCUGUCAAUUAUUCACAACCUCUAAUGCUUAAAGUAGCGCUUAGAUCAUAACCUGCCAUAUAAACCUGGUACGUCCGUCCCCUGGCAGCCUAUGUGACUUUCAAACUUGGUCUCAUUAUCCUGGAACAUUACACAAAUGCAGAAAUAUAAAUCUUUUUUGUUUCUAACAAUGACAACGUGACGAGUUCACAAUGACACUAAAACGAGUGCUUAGGUGACUCUAAUAUGCUUGAAUAAGAUUUCCUGUAUGUCAUGUUUAGCGUCAAUUGCAAUGCUAAAACGGUCUUUCCUAUAAGUCUACUUAGCUAUUGCCCAAUUCUCAUUUUCUGCAUUGGUUUAAAUACAUUUGUUCAUUAUACUAAUACAUAUUUAAUAUUAAUUUUAAUUCACAUUUGUAUCAACUGCCAUAUAAAUCUGGUACCUCCUUCCCCUGGCAGCCCUAGGGGCUCUCAAACGCGUCAUCGUGAAUCAGAAACAUAACGCAUAGUUGCUGCAAUUAAAAACCUUUGAUAUUUGAAAAUGAGAAAUCUGUCAAUUAUUCACGACCUCUAAUGCUUAAAGUAGCGCUUAGAUCAUAACCUGCCAUAUAAACCUGGUACGUCCGUCCCCUGGCAGCCUAUGUGACUUUCAAACUUGGUCUCAUUAUCCUGGAACAUUACACAUAUGCAGAACUAUAAAUCUUUUUUGUUUCUAACAUUGACAACGUGACGAGUUCACAAUGACACUAAAACGAGUGCUUAGGAGACUCUAAUAUGCUUGAGCAAGGUUUCCUGUAUGUCAUGUAUAGUGUCAAUUGCAAUGCUUAAACGGUCUUUCCUAUAAGUCUACUUAGCUAUUGCCCAAUUCUCAUUUUCUGCAUUGGUUUAAAUAAAUUUGUAUAUUAUACGAAUACAUAUUUAAAAUUAAUUUUAAUUCACAAAUAAAUAUAUAAUUGUAUAAAUAACUUAUUCUAAACAUGACAAAAGAUGUACAAAUAUAACAUAACACAUAAAACAUGUAUUAAGCCAUUAAAUAAUAAAUAAAAGUUACAUAAAUACACUAUGAUACAUUUUUUUCGCUGCUAUAUAAACCUGUUACGUCCGUCCCCUGGCAGCCCACGUGACUUUCGAACGUGGCCACGCGCUUCUUGUAGAUAACACAUAUCAAUAAUUAGGUCGAAUGAUGUUGUUUUUUUUGACCAUGCGAUUAUUUGACAUGACAAAUAAUGUUUAUAAUACCGCUAAGGUCAUAAACUGCCACAUGACCCUGGUACGUCCGUCCCCUGGCAGCGCAAGUGACGUUUAAACGUGGCAAAGUUACUCUAGAAUGUACUUACCUGACAGCAUGUAGUGUUGUCAUGCCAUUCUUGUGCUGUCUGCACAUGUCUUUCGGCGCACACUCUGUCUGUCUUUAGUCUUUUUUAGAUGUACGGUUCUUUGGAGAAACCGUAUGGUCUUUUUUUUAGUAUGUGCUGUUUUUCUGAGAAUCAGCACGAUUUAUUUCCUUUAAUACAUAUGGUUCUCAUUGCGAGCCGUUUGGUGAUGUUAAAUGUGCGAAACUUUUCUUAUAUUUCCUUAUAUAUGUGUGUUUAUCCAGAAAAAAAUCACGUUUUGCCUUAAUGUAAGACUUUUCGAAGAAACGGUUGGGUCUUUGAUUUAAAAUGUUUGGUUCUCCCUUCAAAACCGUAUGGCCUUCGAUUGUAUGCAAAAUUGUAUAAAACAUUAUACGGGGUUUUUCUUCAGUAUGUACAGCUCAUCUGAGAAAACAUAUUAGUUUAAUAUCGGACAAACAUGAUAGUUCUGACGUAAAGACAAAAGCUAUGGUACUAUUCAAUUACACGGUUGCACUUACAAACGUAUUUUUUAUAUUUUUAUAAUUAACCUCACUCUCAACUAAAAGUCAGGUACGUUUGAGUUGCCUCUUGCUUAAUUUAACGUUGCUUGUUUGUUUUAUAUUAUCGACCGUGAAAUUAAAGGAAUCAAAUUUGUAUUAAUAAGUGAACACAUGUAACAUGAUGUUAAAAACUCUGAUCUGUUUAAGAUAUUUGUUUGCAUGAUUUUGCAUGCAUGACAUUGCUCAAACAUGUUUUAAUUUAUGUUUAGCGUGUCGAAACGUUUAUCGGAUCUUUUUCUAUUUAGUAACUUUAUCUCACACUUUCAAACUAGCCUUACCUUAAUAUGAACAUAAUUUUAAGAAAAUUAAGGUUUUGACAUAAUCAUGGCCUUUUGUCGGGAGUUGUCGCACAAAGCACAUACAGUAACAGUCUUUUAGUUUGUUCGACGUAUUUUUAAAUGGUAAAUAAACUCUCAACUUGUCAUCAAUCAAAGCUUUGAAUUCAAACAGUUUCGGCCUAAUGACAAUCCAUUGUAUAUUCGUGUAUAAUAUAUACUAUUUCCUUUGUAUAUUUGUUUACAAUGUUUAACGUAUUAUACAUUUGUAACACUUUUUUAGUUAUAUCUCUGUUUUAAUUAUGUAUACGAUAUUGAGUGCGUUUGUAAUUCUUAAUGAUUUUUUAAUAAAUAUAUUGUUAUUCGCAUUGAAGACUUACAGUUGAGAUUAAACUUGAAUUUUAUUUGCUCAAAAAUAUAAUGAAUUUUAUGCAAAGUACAUGCCAAUCUGUUCAUGAAAAAGAAAUCUCCUACCCGGUAACGUACUGUCGAUGUUGACUUUGUUUCAGAACUGUACGUAUUGUACUUAAGGUUGAGUUCAGUAAUAUAACACAUUUGAUUGUACUGUAUUUCACUGUAUAGUGUUGUCUAUGUUUAAUAUUUUUGUUUAUAUUAAAGUAAACUUUUAUACUUACCUGUGAUAUGUUAAAUUGUUGUUUUGACUAAAUUUGGAAAAUCAA